rnacentral:misc_RNA from 1 species
UCUCCGUAGGUGAACCUGCGGAGGGAUCAUUACAGAGUUCAUGCCCUAACGGGUAGAUCUCCCACCCUAUGUUAUCAUCACUUUGUUGCUUUGGCGGGCCGUCAGGCCUCGGCUUGGCUACCGGCUCUCGCUGGUAAGCGCCCGCCAGAGAACCCCAAACCCUGAAUAUCAGUGUCGUCUGAGUAUAAUAUAAUAGUUAAAACUCUCAACAACGGAUCUCUUGGUUCUG